GUAAAUUUGGGUCUCUGUCUCCUCCAAUGCUUUGUAUUCUAAUUUUCUCCAAUCCUCCCUUGUUUAGUCCUUACGGAACAUGCUAAUAGUUAUAUGCCUUCCAUUAUUCAUAGAGAAGAAAAGGUAUCACUACUCAGUUUCGUUUUUGUGUUUUUCAAAAAUAAUCUUAGUAGCAAUACGAUGUAUUGGGUUUGUUAUGCAUUACUGUGCCUUUGUAGUGCAUUCAUGGGCUGAUUUUUGUGUUUCAGAAGAUUUUAUAUCUAUGGAAGAAUAUUAGAAAAUUGAAUUGGGCUUUUCUCAUGAUUAUCUUAUUGGUUGGGGACACCUUUUCUGUUAUUAAUUUUUUAUUUUUUUGGGGUCAAGGGGAAAGGCUCGAUACUGAGUUAAGCUAAUGAAGUGGCAUAAAGCAAUAGCUUUACUGUUCUUAUUCGUCUUGAAAAGUCCAGCCUCUCCGUAUGUCAUAAAUUCUAAUUCUAACUUCAGGAAAGCUUCACUUUGAGUGCACAUUGGUAUAUUUUGGUAUUCCGUUUGUGGUUUUUUGCAGUUGAAUACUGGAUUACACAGUGUGACAUUGCAGCCUCGCUUGAGAUGGGAUUCCAGUUUCUGGAGUUCCUACAGGUAUCUUUCAGGUAACUUGUUCACCUGGUGUUUUCUAUUCCUUGCCGGUCAUCAUGAUAACUUAUUCUUAUACCCCAGCCUGAACGCUAGUGUACAAUUGAAAUGCAGUCUCGGGCGGUAUAAUGAACUAGAUUUAUGUUUUUUAAUCUUCUUUAACAUGUCAAAUUCUAUUCAUUCCCCAAAGAGCAAACACGCCAAAAGGUAUUAAGCAAAAACGUUGCUGGUUGAUGUUUGCAAUUUCGACCAAAUUAAGAAGCUGAAAAAUCACUUGAAUUUGAAGCCCAAAAAUGAGGAUUUUACUAAAAUAUGAGUUGGUCAGAAUAUUAUGGAAAGAAUUUUGCUAUUUGUACACCGGUGUAGACAUGAGGGAGGGGCUUACGUCCAAUAAAAAAAAGCGUGGGCCUCCCUUGGGGGACGUAUACACCGGCGUGUCAUACGUGUAGCACAAUUGAUUAUAGGAAUGUCACCCUACUCUGAUUCUGCACAAAUAUGGAUGAUAAUGAAACUUCUUAUGCGGUCAGGUUGUAAAAGCUUGCAAGGACGUAUGCAGGUAUAAUUUGAAAUGACGGUUCGGCCACUUCUUUUUGACCUCCUAAUGUGGGUCUAGGCAUAAAAAUUGCGGGCCUUUGAUUUUUAAAUGUUUUUAUACUUUUAUUUUAUUUUUUCUCAAAUUUUGGAACCAUUUUUUGGACCUAAUGGGUAAUCAAUUGUG
rnacentral:lncRNA from 1 species